rnacentral:rRNA from 1 species
CCUACGGGUGGCAGCAGUCGAGAAUCAUUCACAAUGGGGGAAACCCUGAUGGUGCGACGCCGCGUGGGGGAAUGAAGGUCUUCGGAUUGUAAACCCCUGUCAUGUGGGAGCAAAUUAAAAAGAUAGUACCACAAGAGGAAGAGACGGCUAACUCUGUGCCAGCAGCCGCGGUAAUACAGAGGUCUCAAGCGUUGUUCGGAAUCACUGGGCGUAAAGCGUGCGUAGGCUGUUUCGUAAGUCGUGUGUGAAAGGCGCGGGCUCAACCCGCGGACGGCACAUGAUACUGCGAGACUAGAGUAAGGGAGGGGGAACCGGAAUGCUCGGUGUAGCAGUGAAAUGCGUAGAUAUCGAGAGGAACACUCGUGGCGAAGGCGGGUUCCUGGACAGUAACUGACGCUGAGGCACGAAGGCCAGGGGAGCGAAAGGGAUUAGAUACCCGUGUAGUC